GAUGAACGCUAGCGGCAGGCCUAAUACAUGCAAGUCGAGGGGUAGAAGAGGCUUGCUUCUUUGAGACCGGCGCACGGGUGCGUAACGCGUAUGCAACCUACCUUCAUCUGGGGGAUAGCCCGGAGAAAUCCGGAUUAAUACCGCAUAAAAUCACAGGAUGGCAUUAUCCAAUGAUCAAACAUUUAUGGGAUGGAGAUGGGCAGGCGUGUCAAUAGCUAGUUGGCGGGGUAACGGCCCACCAAGGCGACGAUGACUAGGGGGUCGGAGAGGAUGGCCCCCCGCACUGGGACUGAGACACGGACCAGGCUCCGACGGGAGGCAGCAUCAAGGAAUAUUAGUCGAUGGAGGCAACUGUGAACCAACCAUGCCGCGCGCAGGAAGACUGCGCUAUGGGUUGUAAACUGCUUUUAUUCGGGAAUAAACCUUAUUCCGUGUAAUAAGCUGAAUGUACCGAAGGAAUAAGGAUCGGCUGACUCCGUGCCAGCCGCCGCAGUAA
rnacentral:rRNA from 1 species